AAUCCUGUUUGCCGAUUAGGAGGUCGGCAGCUGGGGAGGAGAGCCGGGCGGGCUGGUGGGGGCGGCUGAGUUUGCAAGCGGGGCUUCCGCGGGGCAGCCCUGGGGGCGGCAGCGAAGCCUCAAUUCCAGAGCAGAAGGACCCCAACCCAUUCCAGAUGCGGGCCAUGCAAACACCCACAAAUACCUGCACAGGUGUGUGCGCGCUUUCGGCAGGAGGCAGCAAGUGAGACUCUUAUCUGGACUUCCAUAACUCGAAGUUGUAGGAAGCAAGGCUUCGUUUGAGACAGGCUCGCUCCCGCGCCCCGAUUUCGGAAGCCGCAGCUCAGAUCCGCGGCUUCUGAGGAGCCUGGCUGUAGCUGGAUCAGGCCACUGGGGUCUCAUCUAGUCCAGCAUCCGGCCCUUACAGUGGCCGGCCGCAGGACCUGAGUCUAGCAGCAGCAGCCUUCUCCCCACUUGCGAUUCCCAACGGUUGGUAACAGGUGGAGACAGGACUGCAUCUGAGCAUGCACAGAGCUAGACGGAGCAGUGAUGUGCUGCUGAAUGUCUGAAGCACGGCCGCCUGUUGUAAAUUGGGUGGGAGCGCGUAGUCUGAGGGGCAUCUGCGGGGUUCCCUUGCAGCCUCGUGGGUCUUGGUUGCAAGGCUGGGCUUUGGUCAGGAGAGGGUUAAUGGGGUGGGAGGGGCGCUGCUGGGCUGGCGAUUAUCCGGGUGGCUCUGGCGGAGCCGCCAACUGCCCUGGCUUGGUUAAGGAGAUCAAAGGCGAUCAUGCCUCUCAAUGGACUGCUCUCCGGGAUGCGAAGAUUCCUGGAUUAGUUCCUUCCUUCCUCCCUUGCGCGAGGCGGUGGCGUCAAGGCUUUGGAGAGGAGGGGGGCACCGAGGAAAGCGCCAGAGCUGUAGGAUUUCCCAGAAGCUCUGAAGGGCCAGGGGCUCCCCAGAAACCUGAUAGGGGAACAGGGUCUGCUGGGAGCCUUUGGCCUGUGACCCCUUCCUCUUCCACUCAGCCCAUAAAUAUGAGUGCAUCAUAUCACAAACGCAGCCUCCCUCCUCAAGUGUGGCUCACCUAAAGGUAAAGGGACCCCUGACCAUUAGGUCCAAUCAUGGCCGACUCUGGGGUUGCGGUGCUCAUCUCACUUUAUUGGCCGAGGGAGCCUGCGUAUAGCUUCCGGGUCAUGUCUAAGUCGCUUCUGGCGAACCAGAGCAGCGCACGGAAACGCUGUUUACCUUCCCGCUGGAGCGGUACCUAUUUAUCUACUUGCACUGGUGUGCUUUCGAACUGCCAGGUUGACAGGAGCAGGGACCGAGUAAUGGGAGCUCACCUGUCGCGGGGAUUCAAACCGCCGACCUUCUGAUCGGCAAGUCCUAGGCUCUGUGGUUUAACCCACAGCGCCACCGCGUCCCUAGGCUCACCUAGUGGGAUGUAAAAUCUGGAGGUGCCCCCUGUCCCCCUUGUCUGUGCUUGGAGGAGAGUUAUCCUCCUGUUAAAUGUUCACAUGUCCUGUUUUAAAUGGCUGGCGGUGGUUUGUUCUGAAAAGCUGACAGGGCGCCGAAAUCUUUAAAGCACACAAACGGUGUGAGCCUCUUCUGGAACUUCUGAUGCUCCUUUCAGAAAUAACAUCUGAGAAGAGUAUAAACUCCUACGGCAUCUUUCAGACCUGCCAGCAUAUUCUUCUUUCAAAAAUUAUGCGCCCCAAGUCUUUUUGAGAUGUUGUGGGGUAAACACUACUAAAUAAACCGCAGGGGUUCGAGUGGGAUUCCCGAGAGCCGAAACAUGUUGCCUAAUUUUAAUGCUGAGGCACAGCUCCAAGAUUCAGCUUCAAGGCUUUUGGCCAAAUCUCAUUCCCUCUUCCUUCUUUGCAAAUUGGGAAUAUCACACAGAGGUGUUGUGAGGAUAAGUCUGAUAAAGAAAAUUUUGUGUUUAUCACCAACAAGCAAAAGGGGCCUUUUCUGUGGUGGCUCCCUCUUUGUGGGAUGUUCUCCCCAGAGAUGCUCACCAGAGAAAAACUGUCCCAGAAACUCCAGUGGGUGCAGAAUGCUGCAGCGAGGCUCCUCACGGGGUCCCUGCCAUGGGAGCAUAUUCACCCAGUGCUCUACCAGUUGGACUGACUCCAGGUGGAGUAUAGGGUCAGGUUUAAGGUGCUGGUUUUGACCUUUAAAGCCCUUUGUGGCUUAGGGCCCUCGUAUCUAUGGGACCACCUCUCCUGGUCUGCCCCCGCAGAGGACCUUAAGGUCCAUGAAUAACCAUAGUUUAGAGGUCCCGGGCCCUAAGGAAGUCAGACUAUCCUCCACCAGGGCCAGGGCCUUUUCAGUGGUGGCUCCGACCUGGUGGGAUGCUCUGUCCCAGGAGACCAGGGCCCUGCAGGAUUUAACCUCCUUCCUUUGGGCCUGUAAGACAGAGCUAUUCCGCCUGGCUUUCAAUUUGAACUUAGCCUAAACAACUUAACAACAACAACAAACUAUGCUAUGCUAUGUACUGGUAAAUUAUGGUUCUAAUGUUGUACACUACCAAGGGAUCUUGGAUAUUAUGCUGUAUAUACAUUGAAUAAAUAAAUAAGCAUAUAAAUUGAAUAAAUGAAUAAACAAGCAGCCUUGUGGUCCGAUGAUAAAGUGGCAGGGAGCAGAUUAUUUAAAACUAAUAACAAUUCAUAGCCUUCAGGGGUGGGAUUGUAAGGUUAUUUUUUAAAAAUGGGAAAUGAUAUACAAUGAACUGAAAAAGAACAUUUAAAAUAACAUUUGUGAAAAAACCAGAAGCUUUUUCGUUAGGUAUUUUAGGACAAGAGCUGUCGAAAGAAAAAAAGGACAUUGUUCCUGUAUGCUACAACAGCGGCAAGAAUCUUAAUAGCUCAAAAUGGGAAGAACAGAGAAGUACCAUCAAAAGCACAAUGGCAAGAAAAGUUGAUGAACUAUGCAGAGUUAGCAAAGUUAACAGACAAACUGCGUGAAAAGGACAAUAGUGACUUUGAAAAAGAAUGGGAACCCUUUACAAUAUAUCUGCAGAAACAACAGAAAGAAAUGGUCUCGCUGGCAGGAUUUAAAUAAACAUUUACAAUUUUAUUUACAGAGAACAAGAAGUACAACAACCUGAUAACGUAAUAUUGUAUAUAAACAGCAGGAUGCGUCAUCUGAUGUAAUAAACCAGAAAUGGUAGUUGAGGGAAGUCAACAGGGAGGGGGGAAAUUGGAAAAUGUAUGUUUAGCAAUUAUAUUGGAUACUUGUUCUAAGAAAAUAAAAUCAAUAAAAAUAAUGUUUUAAAAAACAAAACAAUUCACAGCCUUCAGGAAGGGCCUUUGGGCAGGAAGGGCUGCUAAAUUAUUACAUACCUUAUGCUUGCAAAUGACCAAAAGGUUUCUCAGUUUGACAUGCUGGCCAUGAUUACGAUAUGGGCUGCAGAUGCUUGCGAGCUCCUAAAGAGCCUUGAUGCAUUUGAAUCAGCCAUGCAAAGAAGGUGAGGAAGAGGAAGAGGAGGAGGUUGCAUCACUGGAGACUUUCGAGAGGACUUCAGGAAACCAGAACAGUUAACAGGGCCUGAGUCUGGAGUCCAUGGAUAUAGGACCUUCCAUAGUGUGGGAUGUGAAACACAAGAGCAGUCAAGUACAACAUUCCUAGAGUGAAUAUGUUUACACAUGGGGAGGAAUGUUUGUCCAGCCAGCAGGUCAACUUCCUGUUUCCUUCUGGGCUGGGACAGACUGUAUGCGACUAGAGGUGGGUGUGGCCUCACCUGUGCAGGUAAUGACAAAUAAGUGGUUUCCAGCUGUACAGGUUAAAGUUAUUGAUAGACUAAGAUUAAAGAUUAGGAUUAAAGAUGUUUAAGGAAAUGGAAAUUUGGUACUUAAGAGGUAAAAUUUUAAUGUUAUAUUACAUUAAGAUUAAAGAUUAGGAUCAAAGAAGUUUAAGAGUUAUAUAUUAUAUUAAAAUUAAAGAUUGGGAUUAAAAAGUGGAAAAGAAAUUGCGAGACAAACAAUUUGUAUUGUAAUACAAAAGCGGCAGGUAUCAGGACGUCCAGAAAAUAAGUAAACUUAAAAACGGAAAUGUAAAAGUGAUAUUGUUUUUAAUUGUUAUGUUUCUUUUUUUAUUGUUGUUUCUUGCUUUUCGUGUUUUUUUUUAUUUCUUUCUGGGAUUUGUAUUGUGUAUUUGUGUAUUUUUUUUUAAUGUUUUUUCUGUUCAAUUUUUGAUUGAAACCUUAAUAAAAAAUUAUUU
rnacentral:lncRNA from 1 species